rnacentral:rRNA from 1 species
UGCAAGUCCCCAUGAGAGGGGCAUGCUUUCCGGAGCGGGUGCUAGGCCCUUAUCGCCCUGGACCUGCACGCGGAGUCGCCGUUCUCCUGGGAGUCGGGUUGCUUGGGAGUGCAGCCCAAAGCGGGUGGUAAACUCCACCUAAAGCUAAACAAGACCGAGAGACCGAUAGCAAACAAGUACCGUGAGGGAAAGUUGAAAAGCACUUUGAAGAGAGAGUUCAAGAGUACGUGAAACCGUUUGGAGGUAAACGGGUGGGGCCUCGAAAGCCUAAGACGGUGGCGGAUUCAGUUCCGGGUGCGGGACUCUCCUUCGAGCUUUGCCUGAUAAAAGGACGCUGCGUAUGGAAUAGUCUUGUGCUCGGGGCGCACUUCCGCGCCCGUUCAUGGGGACGUUGCAACGGGUCGGAUGCCGUCGUGGGUCUGGGCGAAAGGUGGUCGCCUUUCCUCGGAUUGGCGGUGUUAUAGGCGCCUGGGGACCUGAGGGCCGUCCGACCGUGGUGGAGAUUUGCCUCGAUUUCGCUCCCACCCGAGGGUGCGGCGCUAGGUUGGCAUCUGUCGUGCGUUGGCACGUCGCCUUGAGGGGCGAAGGCCUCGUGCGUAUGGGUUUCCACCCGAGCUGCUGCUGGGAGCUGGAGGUUGGCAACGAGUAGGUCGGUCUCCCACCCGACCCGUCUUGAAACACGGACCAAGGAGUCCAAUGCGCGUGCGAGUUCCCGGGACUUGAACAGGCCCGUGGGCGCAAUGAAGGUGAAGGUCGGCUUUGGUCGUCCGAGCUGGGAUCCCUCCUUUGUCGGUGGGCGCACCAGCGACCCGUUCGUGCCCGGAUUCGGGCGAACGGAGUCAGAGCACGUGCCUUGGGACCCGAAAGAUGGUGAACUAUGCCUGGGCAGGGUGAAGCCAGAGGAAACU